rnacentral:lncRNA from 1 species
UUCUAUGCACAUGAGAACAUGAGGAAUGCAUGAAAUUUGUUGAUCGUCAUGAAUAGAAAAUCAACAUGUCUCGGGUAGAUAUAUCAAACAUUCCUUAUGCGGCGUCUCUAUAUUGUAAAAGAAGUGUUAUGAGACUAAUAUGAUCUUUACAAUCCCACCAUAUCUCAAUAAUCUGAAAAAUCGAUAUAGUGAUUGUUAUGACUAUAAACAAAUGGAGACGUUCUUAGUGUUUGUUUUACGGUGACUGACAAGUGCAUGCACUCAUCGGCCACUAUUAAGUUUUCAGACUUUCCAGUUUCAUUGUGUUCUUAUUUUGAUUAGCUUUGCAUUAAUACUUUCUUCUCAUUUAAUUUAACAUUUUACUUUUAAUAAGAAAUUCAACUUCAAAUAAUCACCAUUUCCAUUCCAAUAACAAGUCGAAGAACUAUGAUUUCAACAUAAAGGAUGGUUACUUUUAUAACAUACACAAAAAAUUACCCACAACCAAAU